CUGGUGAGAGCCAGGUGCCUGAGACAAGUUAUCUACUACACAACUUGGUCAGGAGUGGUUCAACUGGGGGAAUCUGGGCUGGAGUGCAAUGGUGCAAUCUUUGCUCACAGCAACCUCUGCCUCCUGGGUUCAAGCAGUUCUACCUCAGCCUCCUGAGUAGCUGAAAUUAUAGGCAUGCGCCGAAAUUACAGGCGAUUCUCUCCCGGGCCUUAGGUGGCUUCUUUACAAGCAUAUGUUGAUCUAUCCUCAGCUGAAGACUGAAGGAACCCUCUGCAAAUCUUCAGAUCUUCCUAUCUGUGAAGCUCUCUCUUCUCCAGUCCUUUUCCCUGAGCCUCCAUAGACUCCCAUCUCCACCAAGUCAACUCUGGGAAAUCACUGGGCUCUGUCUGGGAUCUCCCACCUACACCACAGCCUGGAAACUUUCCCCGGGUUAAAAAAAUGUGGCAACAGCAGAAUUCACCUCAGUUCUUGCUUGUCUCUCAGGGAUCUUUAUGGUUUGUUGCCUCACGUUUAAUCUGAAAACCUUAGUUUCAUACAGGUGGCCCAAUUUUCUAGUUUCAGGUGGGAGAGUAAAUCCGGUUCCUAUUACUCCUCAUUGGCCAGAGUGAAACUCUCUGAAUGCUGAUACAGGCUGUAUAGGAGGCAUGGCUGGAGAGGCCUCAGGAAACUUGCAAUCAUGGCAGAAGGCAGAAGGGAAGCAAGCACAUCUUCACACGGGAACAGGAGAGAGUGUGAAGGGGGAUGUGCCACAAACUUCCAGAUCUCGUGAGAACUCACUCAAUAUCACAAGAACACCAAGGGGGUCUCAUUCUGUCACUCACGUUGGAUUUCAGUUGUACAAUCGUGGUUCACUGCAUCCUCAACCUCCUGGGUUCAAGUGAUCCUCCUCACCUCAGCCUCCAGAGUACCUGGGACCAUAGGCGUGCACCACCAUACUUGGCUAAUUUUUAAUUUUUUUGUACAGACAGCAUCUUGCCAUGUUACCCAUGCUCAACUAAUGUCCUGACAUGAUUUUAAAAAUUAUUCAGGAAUCAUUAAUCUUAAGAUUUAAGAUGGUGGUUCUCUGCCUUUAGGGUAUAUCCGAAUUACCCUUGUAAGGUUUUUUAUUUGUUUGUUUUAAUAGUAAUUCUUGGUUCCAGCCAAUCUACUAAAACUAUAAUUGCUGAGAAAGGGGCCCAGGAAAUUGUAAAGCUCCACAGAAUAUUGUGAUUCUUGUGGAAGUUUAAAAAUGCUGGUUUUAGGAAGUACGAUAAUUUUCUUCUGAGCUCUAUGCAGAUUUUGGAAUAUUUCUUAGUUCUCCUAAUAACUAGACAUGUGUCUUAAUUAGGCAAAAUAGUGAAAGUGCUAGAAUAGCCAAAAUCUCUUUUCUCAGGAAAGAAAAAGAUAGAACAAAUUAAAUAUGGGAUUUACUUCACAUAUUCAAUAUAAGUUUUUAUGUAGAAAUAAUCCAGCCCUGACAAUACUCUCCUUCCUUCAUUCUUUGUCCCUCCCCACCCCAGUAGCAGAGGCCACUAUAAAAGGAUAUAGAUUCUCACAACUAAGAGUAACUCAUUUUUUUUGGCAAUGUCAGCUUAAUUUUGUGUAAAUAGUCUGGAAACAUGAUUUUCAUCACAGCAAGCAAAGCUCGUAUAGACAUGUUUGUAAGAGCAUAUUUAUACAUCACCCCAGGUAAGUCGUUAAUCAUAUAAUGGGCACAGUUUCCUACUACAUACUGAAUAACCCAGUGUUAAUCAUCCCGAAGCAUUCGUGUCUUUAUUAAGAAUUUAUGUGAUUAAGUUAGUUUCUAUACAGAUUUCAGAAUAGCCUGUAGGGUCUCUGUCCUCCAGAAAUUUAGAAUCUAAGACGAGUGAAAGAGUGUGGAUAGGACUGAAUUUGUUUAAAUGACAGAACUGAUAGAAUAAAUCUCUUCCCCCAUUGGCUGUAAGUAGGCAUGUCUUUGGAUCCACGACUACUAAUGAAUUUGCAUAAACCAUGGGGCAGAAAAGUGAUGAGUCUCCUCUAAAGAUACAGAGACUUGAAAUGCCAAGUUUUGGAAAACCAGAAUUGCAACAUCUGAGUUCUCGGAAGGAUAGUCUGGACUUAAGCUAUGCAUAUCUUCUGUUAUGCCGUCAGGUACCUGACCACUCUGACGUCAAUUUGUGGCUUGCCUUUGAGGCAUCCACAGGUAACGAAUGUUUACAUAGAUAGAGAAUGUAUUUUGAGUUAGCUGAGUCACAAGAACAUAAGGGUUCCGAUCCCCCACUUAGCUGCUUUGAGCUCCCCAAACACACUCUUUGUGGCAUCAGUCUGAGGGAAGUGUUUUUGUGUGAUUCUGAAGUAGGAUGUAAGGUUGAAGAGGACAGAAAAUUUCUUUGUACAUGUUGUGUCUGGAAUUGUGCUAGGAAUAUAGUAACUGUUCAGUGAAUGUUUGUUGACUGCAUAUUUAUUAUUUAAUUGGAAAAAUCAAUGUAAUAACUUCAAUUUAAAACUUAUGGUUUUGUUUUAAUAACCUAGUUCUUACUUAUAAAAGUAAGUAGGUUUACUAUAGAAAAUUGGGAAAAAAAUUUAAAACCUUCAGAAGAAAAUAGAAAUUUUUAUAAUAACAUUAACUAGAGAAACUCAUCAUAAAUAUUUAACAUAAACAGUUCAUCUGUGACUGUUUUUAUAAACAUGAUUUGGUGCAUGUGUUUGGGGGGGCGGUAUGGGUAUCCACAAAGAAAAUAAUUGAAAUUGCAUACAUUAAGUUUUGGACUGAACAUAUCAUGAGCAUUUUCUCAUAUAAUUAAAUGCUUUGAAACUAGGAUUGUUAGUGGCUACAUAACUUUCAAUCAAAUGGAUGUGCCAAAAUUUGUUGGACAUGUACCCUAUUUGGGGCUAUUCAGUUUGCUUUUGUUUAGUUAUUUUUGGUAAAAGUAAAUAAUACAAUCAUGAACAUCCUUAUGUGUUAGACUUCUAACACCACUGAUUAUUCCCUUAGGAUAAUUUCUUUCUGAAAUGGCUAUAGAAAUCUGUAUACAAACUACAAAUUUUCAAGAAUGUCUCUUGCAUCUCUUGACAACAGUGAUAAUCAUUUUGAACUAUGUAAAAGGUAACAUCUCAUUAACUGUGGAUUUGCACUCUAUUAGUUGUGCAUAGCACUAUGUCUUCAUAAGUGAAUGUUUAAUCAAAUAUUACUAGUAUAUGUGAUUUUUUUUGCUAUCUUUUUCUUAGUGGUGUGUUAAAACUCUGUAUAUAUUACAGAUAGGAAGCAUUUAUAUACUGCAAACAUAUUUCCCUCUUAGCUGUUGCACUUUAAAUUUUACAUUACUUUUUGCUAAACAGAAUAUUUCUGUACAUGUCAAAAUAUUAAUUUGUGAUUUCUUGUACAAGCUUUGUUGCUAGGAUGCUGUUUCUUAAAUGACAUCAACUACAUGUAGUCCAUUUCAAUUCUUUUAUGGCUUUAUAUUUUAGGUAGGUUACAUUUUAAAAUUCAUCUGUAGUUUAUUUCAAUAUAAGGUAUGAGACAAAUUGAUUUUUUUCUUUUUUGAGAUAUAGUCUUGCUCUGUCACCCAGGCUAGAGUGCAGUGGCACAGUCUCAGCUCACUGCAACCUCCACCUCCUGCUUCAGCCUCCUGAGUAGCUGCGACUACAGGCCUGUGCUACCACACCCGACUAAUUUUGUAUUUUUAGUAGAGACAAGGUUUCACCAUGUUGGCCAGGAUGAUCUCGAUCUCUUGACCUUGUGAUCCACCUGUCUCAGCUUCCCACGGUGCUGGGAUUGUAGGCAUAAGCCACUGUUACCUGGCCGAAUUUUAUUUCCUAAUAAUAUCUUCUUAUAAUUUAUUCAAGAAUCGUUCCUAUCCUCAGUUAUUUUGUAUACAAAUUCAAUUCUUAUUAAAUUAUGUUCCCUUCUUAUACUUCUUCUGUUUAGUUAAAAUACCUGCCUUUUCACAUUUGUGCAAUUUUUGAAAUUAAAUAACAUGUGGUAAAGUAAGUCUGUAUUCUUUAUAAAAUGUCAAGACAAAUUCUCAUCAGCUUCAAAAUUGUAAGAAAUCUUUAGAAUCCUAUUAACAAAUACAAAAAGGGGAAAGAUGAUAUUUCUAUUGAAAUUAAAUAAUUUGCCUAAAUUUAAAAAAUAUGUGGGAUGAAUUAAUAUGUUUAUAAUAUUGAGUUCUCCAAAACAUUAUCCAUAUGCCCAGCACAAAAAUCUUUCUACAUAAAUACACAUCCCUUUUGUCAUCUUUUUCUUGGUCCCUCAUCAAAGCUGUAACAUUUUCUUCAACUAGAACAAGGGUAUUUCAUAUUAUAUAUUAGCAUCUAUCGUAAUAUUUUUCUUGGGAUUUGAAAAAGUGGUUGUUGGAAAUACGGGUUUUUAUUUUUUGAUUAUUGUGAAGGAUGCUUCUAUAAACAUUUAUGUACAAGUUUUUUUGAAGACAUAUGUUUUCAUUUAUCUUGGGAAGAUAUGUAGAAGUAGAGUUGCUGGAUCAUAUGGGAACUCCAUAUGCAACCACUUGAAUCACUUCCAGACUGUCUCCAGCUGCACAUUUCGCAUUCCCACCAGCAGUAUAUGAGAGUUCAAAUUUCUCCACGUCCUCAUCAACACUUGCUAUUAUCUGGCCUUUUGAUUCUAGCAAUCCUAAUACGUGAAAAGUGGUAUAUCAUUGUGCUUUUGAAUUGAAAGUUUUAUGGUAUGUUUAAAUAAGUAUUGUUGUUACCAAACAAAGCUAUUCUAACUAUUGUAACUGAUUUCCCCAUGUCCUCCUAUGUCUCUGUCACACACAUUGACUGAUGCCUCCUGCACAGUGAAUACUCCUGGCAGUUGGGCUGCUCUCCAGCAUCUACACAGAGUGCUAUGAGUUAGGGCAGUCCACUACUUAAAAAUACAGGUUUUAAGAAAAAUAGGAAAAACAAUAGCAUUGAGAUGUUUGUGAAUAGCACAAAAAGUGAACUGUGUCAGUUGGUGAGACCAGACCCAAUUCCAAUUUUAGGGGAUUAAAAUUUUAUAAUAUUAACAUAUGUUGCUAUGAUUUAACCUUAUUUAAUUACAAGGAACUAGGGAGCAAUGGAAUUCUCACUUGAGUUUUCUUUGAACUUCUCUGGGAUCAGGUAUCCUAAAAUGUUAGUAGAGUCAAGAGAAUCCAAUGGGAAGAAACCUAGCAAAGCUCUGAAUAUAACCUGAUAGAGUAAAAGCUGUUGCAUAGAUGAAUGCCUAAUCAAUAAAAAGCAGCAUUCUUAACAUUAAAAAAAAAGAUUCUGUGUUCAUACUAACUGGAGUCAAAUCUCAGCUCUAAAACUUACCUGCUUGUGCAAGCUUGGGCAAGUUAUGCAAAUCAAUCAGCUUGCAGAUGUCCUCAAAGUCUUGCAUUAAUGGAUGUAAUUUAUGCAAGAAAUACCAAGGGGCAUUUUAUGAGUGCACACAUGCUAAAAGAAAUGGCCUUAGCUUUAUACCCCUAAAUUUGCAAAUUGUCAUAAAUAUUUGUUCUAAGCUGAAAUCGUAUUUUUAUAUAUGUAUGUAUGUAUGGGUUUUAAUGAUUCUCUCCUUUAAUAGAUUUUCAAUUAACAAAUCAAAUCCUGCUACCAAUGUUAUUAAAUAAAA